rnacentral:rRNA from 1 species
AUACGUAGGGGGCGAGCGUUGUCCGGAAUGAUUGGGCGUAAAGGGCGCGUAGGCGGCCCGGUAAGUCUGGAGUGAAAGUCCUGUUUUUAAGAUGGGAAUUGCUUUGGAUACUGUCGGGCUUGAGUGCAGGAGAGGUAAGUGGAAUUCCCAGUGUAGCGGUGAAGUGCGUAGAGAUUGGGAGGAACACCAGUGGCGAAGGCGACUUACUGGACUGUAACUGACGCUGAGGCGCGAAAGUGUGGGGAGCAAACAGGAUUAGAUCCCCCGGUAGUCCUGGCCGUAAACGAUGGGUACUAGGUGUGGGAGGUAUCGACUCCUUCCGUGCCGGAGUUAACGCAAUAAGUACCCCGCCUGGGGAGUACGGCCGCAAGGCUUAAACUCAAAUGAAUUGACGGGG